rnacentral:rRNA from 1 species
UACGUAGGGGGCAAGCGUUGUCCGGAUUUAUUGGGCGUAAAGAGCGUGUAGGCGGCCUUACAGGUCAGCUGUGAAAACUCGAGGCUCAACCUCGAGAGGUCGGUUGAAACCGUAAGGCUAGAGUCCGGAAGAGGAGACUGGAAUUUACGGUGUAGCGGUGAAAUGCGUAGAUAUCGUAAGGAAGACCAGUGGCGAAGGCGGGUCUCUGGACAGUUCCUGACGCUGAGGCACGAAGGCCAGGGGAGCAAACGGG